GCACAAGCGGUGGAGUAUGUGGUUUAAUUCGACGCAACGCGAAGAACCUUACCCAGCCUUGACAUGCUCGGAACCCUGUGGAAACACGGGGUGCCUUCGCAAGAAGGAGCCGGGACACAGGUGCUGCAUGGCUGUCGUCAGCUCGUGUCGUGAGAUGUUCGGUUAAGUCCGGCAACGAGCGCAACCCUUGCUUCCAGUUGCCAUCAUUCAGUUGGGAACUCUGGAGGGACUGCCGGCGCCAAGCCGGAGGAAGGUGGGGACGACGUCAAGUCAUCAUGGCCUUUAUGGCUGGGGCUACACACGUACUACAAUGGCGUCUACAAAGGGCUGCGAAGCGGCGACGUGGAGCAAAUCUCAAAAAAGACGCCUCAGUUCGGAUUGGAGUCUGCAACUCGACUCCAUGAAGUUGGAAUCGCUAGUAAUCGCGGAUCAGAACGCCGCGGUGAAUACGUUCCCGGGCCUU
rnacentral:rRNA from 1 species